rnacentral:rRNA from 1 species
CUGGGAUUAGAUACCCUGUUAUUUAAAAAAUAAUUAAAUUAAAUAGAGUAGUAUUAGUUAUAUUCUUAAAACUUAAUAAAUUUGGCGGUAUUUUAAUCUAUUCAGAGGAACUUGUUUUAUAAUUGAUAAUCCUCAAUUUAUCUUACUUAAUUUAAUUAAAUUUGUAUAUCGUUGUCAUAAGAAUUUCUUAAAAAAGUAAUAAUUUUCUAAAAUUUUUAUUAAUAAUAAUGUCAAAUCAAGGUGCAGUUUAUGAUUAAGUAAAAAUGAGUUACAAUAAAAUUAUUUAUUAUGGAUUAUAAAUUGAAAUAUUUUUAUAAAGGUGGAUUUGAUAGUAAAAUAAAAUUAAUAAUUUUAUUUGAUUAUAGUUCUAAAAUAUGUACAAAUCGCCCGUCACUCUCUGA